UACGGAGGCAGCGAGCGUUACCCGGAUUUACUGGGUGUAAAGGGCGUGUAGGCGGUCUCUCAAGUACGAUGCUAAAGACCGAAGCUCAACUUCGGGAGUGCGUUGGAUACUGUGAGGCUAGACGGUCGGAGGGGGUAGCGGAAUUUCCGGAGUAGCGGUGAAAUGCGCAGAUACCGGAAGGAACGCCGAUAGCGAAGGCAUCUACCUGGACUCUUGGUGACGCUGAGGCGCGAAAGCGUGGGGAGCAAUCCGG
rnacentral:rRNA from 1 species